ensembl:snoRNA SNORD116 Small nucleolar RNA SNORD116
GGAUCGAUGAUGACACUCAAAUAUGCAUUCCUUGGAAAAGCUGAACAAAAUAAGUGAGAAAUCCCUACUGUCUACUCUCAUUGAACUGAGGUCC